AUGAACGCUAGCUACAGGCUUAACACAUGCAAGUCGAGGGGCAGCAUGGUCUUAGCUUGCUAAGGCCGAUGGCGACCGGCGCACGGGUGAGUAACACGUAUCCAACCUGCCGUCUACUCUUGGACAGCCUUCUGAAAGGAAGAUUAAUACAAGAUGGCAUCAUGAGUCCGCAUGUUCACAUGAUUAAAGGUAUUCCGGUAGACGAUGGGGAUGCGUUCCAUUAGAUAGUAGGCGGGGUAACGGCCCACCUAGUCUUCGAUGGAUAGGGGUUCUGAGAGGAAGGUCCCCCACAUUGGAACUGAGACACGGUCCAAACUCCUACGGGAGGCAGCAGUGAGGAAUAUUGGUCAAUGGGCGAGAGCCUGAACCAGCCAAGUAGCGUGAAGGAUGACUGCCCUAUGGGUUGUAAACUUCUUUUAUAAAGGAAUAAAGUCGGGUAUGGAUACCCGUUUGCAUGUACUUUAUGAAUAAGGAUCGGCUAACUCCGUGCCAGCAGCCGCGGUAAUACGGAGGAUCCGAGCGUUAUCCGGAUUUAUUGGGUUUAAAGGGAGCGUAGAUGGAUGUUUAAGUCAGUUGUGAAAGUUUGCGGCUCAACCGUAAAAUUGCAGUUGAUACUGGAUAUCUUGAGUGCAGUUGAGGCAGGCGGAAUUCGUGGUGUAGCGGUGAAAUGCUUAGAUAUCACGAAGAACUCCGAUUGCGAAGGCAGCCUGCUAAGCUGCAACUGACAUUGAGGCUCGAAAGUGUGGGUAUCAAACAGGAUUAGAUACCCUGGUAGUCCACACGGUAAACGAUGAAUACUCGCUGUUUGCGAUAUACGGCAAGCGGCCAAGCGAAAGCGUUAAGUAUUCCACCUGGGGAGUACGCCGGCAACGGUGAAACUCAAAGGAAUUGACGGGGGCCCGCACAAGCGGAGGAACAUGUGGUUUAAUUCGAUGAUACGCGAGGAACCUUACCCGGGCUUAAAUUGCAGAUGAAUUACGGUGAAAGCCGUAAGCCGCAAGGCAUCUGUGAAGGUGCUGCAUGGUUGUCGUCAGCUCGUGCCGUGAGGUGUCGGCUUAAGUGCCAUAACGAGCGCAACCCUUGUUGUCAGUUACUAACAGGUUCCGCUGAGGACUCUGACAAGACUGCCAUCGUAAGAUGUGAGGAAGGUGGGGAUGACGUCAAAUCAGCACGGCCCUUACGUCCGGGGCUACACACGUGUUACAAUGGGGGGUACAGAGGGCCGCUACCACGCGAGUGGAUGCCAAUCCCCAAAACCUCUCUCAGUUCGGACUGGAGUCUGCAACCCGACUCCACGAAGCUGGAUUCGCUAGUAAUCGCGCAUCAGCCACGGCGCGGUGAAUACGUUCCCGGGCCUUGUACACACCGCCCGUCAAGCCAUGAAAGCCGGGGGUACCUGAAGUACGUAACCGCAAGGAGCGUCCUAGGGUAAAACUGGUGAUUGGGGCU
rnacentral:rRNA from 1 species